GGCAGGCAGAGGGAUAGUGCGAGGGAACUGGGAGGGAACUGCCCAGCACUGGGCAGCGUGCAGCAGGAACUGGGAUGAGCAGAGAGGAGGGAGAAGUGACCCCAGCCACUGCACAGCGACUUCUUUUCGAUAACUGUGUUUGAAGUGGGGAGGACACCCGGUCUCAGUUUAAGGAAAAUACACAUUUUUUCAUUAUUUUGGUGUCUCACCGUAGGCGGGAAAUCACGGUUUUCCAUUACUUUCAUGUUUAAAUGGAAGGAGAGUACCUUUAUGGUGCUGUUCUAUGAGUUUGAAUUGAGGGACAGCUCAGUUUGACUGAUCUAAGGGCGUAACUCCGGCUGAUCGGCAGCACCACACGCACAAAUCCAUCUCACCUUUCCAUGUCCGUCCCGCGCUCCUGGCGCGCACGCGCGGCGCGUUUUGUUUUCCUCACUGGUUCGGUCGGGUACGGGGGAGGGGUCACGGCCCCUUCGGGCGGAACCCGCUCCGCAGAUUCUGACACAGCAGCAAACUCCGCUCCAGCUACACUGUGGGCUGGCACCCGGCAGCAUCUUCCCCUCUAAUCCCGACUUUGGGCGAGCGCUUCUCUCUCCCGGACACGAGGCGGCCGCCGGAGCUCGGAGCGGCUCCAGCCCAGGAGAAGGACCGGCCCCCCUGGCGGUGAUGGGCGAGCCCCCGGAACUGAUCCUGACGGUGACAGAACCGCAUCUGGGCCACAAUCACCUGUCCUGCUGUGCCAUGACAGGUGAGCCGGGAACUGAACUGUGGGACAGGACAUGUCCGAGGAGAGAGACGGGAAUAAAACCAUGCCUGCUCUUCUGGGCAAGCACGGCUCCCCCACCCUAAAGCACGAUCUGAAGUCACUUUUACCGUGGUUCUCACGCAUGUUGUCCCUUCUUCUAUUGUUACCCUUCUCCUCUGGGACAAGGUCGGCGUUCAGCUCUCUGAUCUGGCUACUGCGGGACACGAGCAGGCAAUGCGUGUGCUGGCGGCCUGCAGGGGGAUUUUUGGAGCACUGGAAAAGCAAGAGCAGUCUCAGGCUGUAUCCUGUGCGGAUGCCGCCGGCCCCUGCCCCGCUCUGACUCUCCCUGCCCGCCUGACCCUGGCGCUGCUGAUGCUGGAGAGCGGCCGCAGCCAUCACCCCCUGUGCCCAGCCCAAGGAGGGGAAGGCAUUCUGUCUCAGGGCCUGAGCAGCCGAUCCAUCAGAUCUGACUGCGGCUCCAGCACUGAGGAGGAGGGGUCCCCUUCCAGCCGGGACCAACAGAUCCAGGAGCUGAGCCUGACCUAUUCCCUCCUGACCACAUGAAAACUGGGUGCCAUUGAAGGAAAAGGCUCUGAAGGAGGGGGAUUUUUGUAUCACAGCAAAAAUAGUGGUGCCAGUCCGGCUUCACGGUGAAACAACCCGCAGUGGGAACCCCUCGCUUAUUGGGAAUUAAGGAACUGCACUGCACGGCUACAGAACAGGGGCUGGGAUCUCCCUACUUUACUCAUCUUUCACGCUCUAUGUUGUCAAAUCAUCUUAUGGACCCCUCCUGAUUUAAAGGGGCUGGAGAACUUACUAUGAACCCCAACUCAGUGUGUCAUUUUGGAUGCUGAGAGGAAUGACGGAUUUAUCUUUACAAACAAGAUUUGAGUGUACUGGUAGAUAAAACUAGCACUGAGAGAGAAGAGAAACAAUGGGAAGGAUUACACUGACUGGUGACUGGAAAAAAAAUGUAUUUGACUUUACAAACAAAGUGUAGGCUAUCUGAUAAAUGAAACUGGAUAUUAAAAGAUUAAAGAAACACAGUGGGAAAACCAUAAAUUCCAUAAGAAGUAAAAAUUAAAAGGCAGGGUUAUACAUUAGAGGGGAAUGUCUGUUAUCAGGUGUUCCAGGAAGUCUGUACCUCUCAAGUACCUCAGCCAAUGGGGAAAGAGAGAGGGAAAUGCGGCCGGGAAAUUGGGAUAAAUGGAGGCUGCGUCCUCCAAAUAUCAGAGACACUCCAGGGGAAUGCCCUAUGGCCUCUCCCUUUAUUCAAAAUAAAGUAUAAAGAAUUCCUCUGUCUCCUUUUUGGACAUAAA